CAGCCGCCGCGGGAAUACGAAGGGUGCAAGCGUUAAUCGGAAUUACUGGGCGUAAAGCGUGCGUAGGCGGUGAGUUAAGUCAGCUGUGAAAUCCCCGGGCUCAACCUGGGAAUGGCAGUGGAUACUGGCUCGCUAGAGUGUGUCAGAGGAUGGUGGAAUUCCCGGUGUAGCGGUGAAAUGCGUAGAGAUCGGGAGGAACAUCAGUGGCGAAGGCGGCCAUCUGGGACAACACUGACGCUGAGGCACGAAAGCGUGGGGAGCAAACAGGAUUAGAUCCCCAGUAGUCCCUGUCUCUUAUACA
rnacentral:rRNA from 1 species